rnacentral:rRNA from 1 species
GCGUUAUCCGGAUUUACUGGGUUUAAAGGGUGCGCAGGCGGAUAUGUAAGUCAGUGGUGAAAUCUCCGGGCUUAACCCGGAAAUUGCCGUUGAUACUAUAUAUCUUGAAUGCUGUGGAGGUAAGCGGAAUAUGUCAUGUAGCGGUGAAAUGCUUAGAGAUGACAUAGAACACCUAUUGCGAAGGCAGCUUACUACACAGAUAUUGACGCUCAUGCACGAAAGCGUG